UUUCUUGAACUGAAUAAAAAUGAAAACACAGCAAGUCAACUUUAAAAAAUUAAAUGGAAAAUAACAAAAUUAGGGGGAAAAAAGCUUCAUAGCAAUGCCACAUUAUAUCGAGGUGAUCAGAUUCUGGGCUAGUGGCCGCAAGUACAUUAGGAGCCCAUAAAGGGGAGGCUUCUGUCCUAUAGCUAGUGUCAGUAAAAGUUGACUGGCCUGACCAGAUAGGCCCUGAUUCCUCAGGACAGCUAAAGAAGAAUCAGUGCAAAGUCCCACUCCUCUGUUCCAAGGAGAAAACCAUCAAGUGCUUUCCCAUGAGGAGAGGUCAAACAAGGAAGAGAUAAGUAAGGGACACGCUCAUGUCAUACAUGUAUCCAUGAGAACUUAGCUCUUAAGACAGAAAAAGUAGAGGAGGGACUCUUGUGCUGAGGUGGACCUGACCAGGGGAUCCAUGCCUUUUCUCUCACUGCCCUGAAAUGGUACCCUGUGGGAGAAGGGGCUUUCAGGAGCUACAUGAAGGAUAAGUGACCACAGUACCCAGGGGGUUGAAAAUUAAGUCUCUAGUAGACAGGACCUGUGGGGAC
rnacentral:lncRNA from 1 species